GCUGAUGCGAUUUAGCGUAGUGCGUAUUUGGAACGGAUCGCUCAUGUCAACUGUCGGCCAAAUGUCACGUGACAUUUGACCUUGACUCGGCACCAAAAUUUGAUGACAAAUACUGCGUGGUUGAUACAUUUGAUGGCGUCAACAAACUGCUUGCUCCAAAUCUUAUACAAUUUUAAGCUUGUAUCAGAUUUGCAAUCUUUUCUCUUGUAUUUUGCUGUGACCUGCCUAGUAUUUUAUUGCAGAUUGCAGAGCUCUUACUCUGAUUCAGUUUUGUGUUAGCAAGCAGCAUGCCAGGGUGUUUUGCAUCUGGGUGCAGCCACCACAACAGCGCUGCAAGAUGUAGGUACAUUUAGAAGGUUUCCAAGAGAGGAGAAGAUGAGGGUCGCUUGGGUGAGGGCUGUCAGACGUGCAGAUGCAGUUCCCAGGAGCACUUCCCAGCUCUGUUCCUGUCAUUUUGAGGAGGGCAGCUGCAUCCCAACACUCUUCCAGUACAACGGGACAUCGGGUACCAGAUUGCUCGUUUCCGGUCGCCUGUGCUACACCAAGCUCAGAAAGGGAAAGCGGAUCACACAGCCACCAUCAGCGCGCUAGAACUCCAAGGAGGAUCUGCGAGCGGCGCGCCAGGCGCCGUCGGAGCAGCCCCUGGUAGCGACAGCCGCCGCGCCGUCGGAGCAGUCCCUGGGAGCCACGGCCAGCCGCUGUCGGAGCAGCCUCUGGGAGCCGGCCGGCCGCCGUCGGAGAGGCCUCUGGGAGCUUACCUGUAACUGACUGCGGCUGACGUGUGUGUCCGUGUGCGCGCGUGUGUGUGUGCGUUUCCACUGGCAGUGAUAGUGACAGGUGAACGGUGUUCAUGACCGAUGGCCGGCGGUCUUUGUUGUUAUUCUGAUAAUACGUAUGAGACAUUGUUUUAAUAUGUUUUGUUCUGAAACGUUUCCAAAAACUGAAUCACUUCAUUAUCAUUCUACUUUCAAGCAUGUUUACCAGAUAAAAGGAUUUGCAAAUCAAAGGAAGUAAAAUUGUGUGAAAAUUUACUCAGUUGCGCAGCUAGCCAACACACAUUUGCUACUGUCAGGCCGCUAUGGGACAUGUUCAAAGUAGCUCAACGUAUUGAAUGACUCACUGCUCCCCCCCCCCCCCGCCAACGUUGGCGCGCAUUGGGCGCAGGCACAAGAGUGGUAUCAACGACCGCCGUCUUGAGCUGCACCAGGGUCUGCUGGCUCUUCGUCAUGUAUGGUGCAUUGUUCAGAUAUCCCCGCUGCACGCUGUACGCUGUACGCCGCUGUUUCGUUAUAAUAUUGUCUGCUCGAUUUGUUUGAAAUAUGGAAAUAUGUAUAGACACUGGAUGUGCAAAGCGUCCGUGUAGGACAUCUACUUGUUUCAAACUGUCCCGGAGCAUCCA